rnacentral:rRNA from 1 species
UACGGAGGGGACGAGCGUUGUCCGAAGUUACUGGGCGUAAAGCGCGCGUAGGCGGGUUGGCAAGUCUGCUGUGAAAGCCCGGGGCUCAACCCCGGGUCGGCCGUGCGAACUGUCGAGCUGGAGCACUGUAGAGGCAGGUGGAAUUCCGGGUGUAGCGGUGGAAUGCGUAGAGAUCCGGAAGAACACCGGUGGCGAAGGCGGCCUGCUGGGCAGUGGCUGACGCUGAGGCGCGACAGCGUGGGGAGCAAACAGG